rnacentral:tRNA from 1 species
AGUAUUAUGUCUGAUUAAAGUAAUAAAUUGUAAAUUUAUGUAAGAAAAUUAAAUUUCUGAUACUA